UGUGCACACCUAACGGCAAUCUUUGUAUCACCUGUGCACUUUUUGUAGACCUAAAGUAUGAGGACUGCCGUGCGUCAAGCCAGCUUUCCUUACAUUUAUGGUCUAUGCUUUUGACUUAUACACCUACAGUAUGUCAAUGAAUGUUUAUUGUCGGGCGUAAUUGCCCUUUAAAAAUAUUGUACAACUUUCAACAACGGAUCUCUUGGCUCUCGCAUCGAUGAAGAACGCAGCGAAAUGCGAUAAGUAAUGUGAAUUGCAGAAUUCAGUGAAUCAUCGAAUCUUUGAACGCACCUUGUGCUCCUUGGGUAUUCUGAGGAGCAUGCCUGUUUGAGUGUCAUGAAAUUCUCAACCUUACUCAGCUUUUGCUAGUUGAGUUAGGCUUGGACAUGGGAGUUUGUGGGCUUCUCGAAGUCGGCUCUCCUUAAAUGCAUUAGUGGGAGACCUCUUUCUGUCUCAGAUAUUUGGUGUGAUAAUUAUCUACGCCAUUCAACUAGGCAGCAUGUUAAUGGGACUCUUGCUUUCUAACUGUCUCUUUGAGACUACUUAUGACAAUUGACCU
rnacentral:rRNA from 1 species